rnacentral:rRNA from 1 species
UCCACGCCGUAAACGAUGUCAACUAGCCGUUGGGAGCUUGAGCUUUCAGUGGUGCAGCUAACGCGUGAAGUUGACCGCCUGGGGAGUACGGCCGCAAGGCUAAAACUCAAAUGAAUUGACGGGGGCCCGCACAAGCGGUGGAGCAUGUGGUUUAAUUCGAUGCAACGCGAAGAACCUUACCUACCCUUGACAUUGACAGAAUCCAGUAGAGAUACAGGAGUGCCUUCGGGCCU